UGGGGAAUAUUGGACAAUGGGCGAAAGCCUGAUCCAGCCAUGCCGCGUGUGUGAAGAAGGUCUUCGGAUUGUAAAGCACUUUAAGUUGGGAGGAAGGGCAGUAAGCGAAUACCUUGCUGUUUUGACGUUACCGACAGAAUAAGCACCGGCUAACUCUGUGCCAGCAGCCGCGGUAAUACAGAGGGUGCAAGCGUUAAUCGGAAUUACUGGGCGUAAAGCGCGCGUAGGUGGUUCGUUAAGUUGAAUGUGAAAGCCCCGGGCUCAACCUGGGAACUGCAUCCAAAACUGGCGAGCUAGAGUAGGGCAGAGGGUGGUGGAAUUUCCUGUGUAGCGGUGAAAUGCGUAGAUAUAGGAAGGAACACCAGUGGCGAAGGCGACCACCUUGGCUCAUACUGACACUGAGGUGCGAAAGCGUGGGGAGCAAACAGG
rnacentral:rRNA from 1 species